UACGUAGGGAGCGAGCGUUGUCCGGAAUUACUGGGUGUAAAGGGAGCGUAGGCGGGCUUGUAAGUUGAAUGUCUAAUCCACCGGCUCAACCGGUGAUCGCGUUCAAAACUGCAGGUCUUGAGUGAAGUAGAGGCAGGCGGAAUUCCUAGUGUAGCGGUGAAAUGCGUAGAUAUUAGGAGGAACACCAGUGGCGAAGGCGGCCUGCUGGGCUUUAACUGACGCUGAGGCUCGAAAGCGUGGGGAGCAAACAG
rnacentral:rRNA from 1 species